CCUACCCACGCCCCCCGCGACUCCAUAAUGUUCGAGUGUGAAGAGAACUCUCCAAUAAACGGUAAGCAGACCUUAAUUUAAAAGCGAAAACGUAAUGAAAAUACAAAUAGGGCAUUGAAAGAACAUUAUUGUAACUCUUAUGACGUACACGUUUAAAUCAUGUUAAAGACUGUAGGCGAAUUGUGGGAUCUGCUCUACAUUUUUUACAGCCUUCAGAAGUCCUAAAAAGUAUCAUUGAAUUGAUAUGGAAUUGAUUUGAAAAAUGUUCGUUUUCCUGCAUGUCUAGGCAAGCCGGGGCAAGCACCUUGUCUAAAAGUAGACAAUUACAAUGAUAAAGUGGCAGCAUUUAAGGGGGAACCACUGGCCAAAAUAGGCAAUUGUACACUUGAGCACCCAAAUUAGAAUAAUACAUUUCCAUGUCAAUGAUCGCACAAUUGCAUAGCACUGCUUGUUCAAACAUGUUGCGUGUGUCGUGUGCAAUGAAUCAAAUAAAACAUUAUGUUAUUACUGCAGUGCUAUAGGGUGAGUAUAAUUUGGUUGUGUCCAACAUAAUUAAUUUGGAUAAAUAAUCAAAUAUCAUGGUCCAGCAAAUGAACAUUGAUAGAGAAAAUUUGACCACGAAAUAUUAUAUUAUAAAUAUCCUAUUCUCUUUCUAAUGGGAAUUUGUUGUGCUGCAUGAAAUAGGACAGAAAACGUUAUUGGCCUAUGUUUUACAUAUAUAUAUUAUUUACAUGUUUAGCUUACUGUUUUCUUAUCUGGCCAUUAGAUGUCCCAGGGUGGGGUUUGCCCUAUGUUACUUAUUUAAGAAAAAGAACAUAUCAUUUAUUAUAAUUGACCAAUAAAAAGCAACCCAAGAUAGACAGCCAAGAGACUUGGCCUGCCGGGGCUCAUUCCAGUAUUCCCACAUCCAGAACACUGUUAUUGUUGACAAUCACUGCCUGUUAUUUCUUUAGGAAAUACUUUCUUCAUUCUAUUCCAUGAACUGCAUUGUUGGUUAAGGGCUUGUAAGUAAGCAUUUCACAGUAAGGUCUACACCUGUUGUAUUCGGCGCAUGUGACGAAUACAAUUUUAUUUUAUUUGAUGUUAGAAUUGUAUCACUGCAGACUUUGUCAUCAUAACAAAGUAAAACCUUUUUUUUCCCUGACUAAUCUGGUGCUUAAAGGACAGUUAGACAUGUCCUGUAUCCUGUGGGUCCGUGUGUGACGUGGGAUGAGACAAGACAGAGGUAGUGAGUUGAGACCAGCUGUCUCCUGAGCUCUUUUGCAGGACAUUUGGCAGCUCUGAGCAGGAAAGGAGCAGACUUUCUCCAGCGAGACUUUCCGUGCAUUUACUGCAAUCCAUUAUACACCCCAAACACAGACGUGUGGCCGGAUGACAACACGCAUCCAGACCUCCGGUCUUCAUCGUCCUGACGACAGAGUACCGGUGAUUAUAAAUCUGCAUGAUUGGGCCUUUCCCUUGGCCAAUUAGAUGAGGUGAAAUAUGGGAGGUCACGCCUGCUGUGGAGGCAGCAUGCAACCAGCGCUCUGUUUACUUAAAUGUCCCUUAUCAGCCCCCAUCAGAGGACCUGGGACACAAAGAGAAGGGGCCCAGAGUGUGUCCCUUUGUUCACAGAAAUGUGCCCUUUCUACAAGAUUUCCUCCCUUGCGUUUUGUGGCAUUCCUUUAGCAAUGGACAUCGACAUUGUUAAGAUAAAUAGAACAGUUGGAUAAUGGAUGAAGAUAUUCUAAACUUUUUAAAUUUGUUAUAGUUCAUCAGAUAUUGACUGAAUUAUAGUUCAGGGAUUCUGGUGGGAAUUCAGGUAUUCAAUAUAUUGUCAAAUGGCAC
ensembl:lncRNA